rnacentral:rRNA from 1 species
CCUACGGGUGGCAGCAGUAGGGAAUUUUCGUCAAUGGGCGCAAGCCUGAACGAGCAAUGCCGCGUGAACGAGGAAGGUCUUCGGAUCGUAAAGUUCUGUUGAAGGGGAAAAAGAGCGGAGAGAGGAAAUGCUUUCUGAUUGAUAUUACCCUUCGAGGAAGUCACGGCUAACUACGUGCCAGCAGCCGCGGUAAUGCGUGGGUGGCGAGCGUUAUCCGGAAUGAUGGGGCGUAAAGGGUGCGUAGGCGGCCUGCUAAGUCUGGAGGGAAAGGUACCGGCUCAACCGGGACAGGCUCUGGAAACUGGCGGGCUAGAGAGCAGGAGAGGGCGGUGGAACUCCAUGUGUAGCGGUAAAAUGCGUAGAUAUAUGGAAGAACACCAGUGGCGAAGGCGGCCGCCUGGCCUGUUACUGACGCUGAGGCACGAAAGCGUGGGGAGCAAAUAGGAUUAGAUACCCCAGUAGUC